rnacentral:rRNA from 1 species
GACGAACGCUGGCGGCGUGCUUAACACAUGCAAGACGAACGAGUGGCGAACGGGUGAGUAAUACGUGGGUAACCUGCCCUCUUUUUGGGAUAAGCCUUGGAAACGGGGUUUAAUACCGAAUAAAGGGGGUUGGGCUCGCGGCCUAUCAGCUUGUUGGUGGGGUGAUGGGCUACCAAGGCGGUGAUACGUAGCCGGCCUGAGCGGGUGAUCGGCCGCAUUGAGUGUGCGAUACGGCUCAGACUCCUACGGGAGGGAGCAUUCGGUUAUGUUGCACAAUGGGCAACAGCCUGAUGCCGCGAGUCCGCAUGGUGUAUGAAUGCUUUCGUGUUGUAUUCCUCGUUCGCUAUCGUACCGGUAGUUAUCGAGGAAGCGCCGGCUAACUACGUGCCAGCCGCCGCGGUAAUAC